ACGGGUGUAGCUCAAUUGGCAGAGCACCGGAUUCCAAAUCCGGCGGUUGGGGGUUCAAGUCCCUCCACCCGUG
rnacentral:tRNA from 1 species